rnacentral:lncRNA from 1 species
UUACAACCUCCCCUUCUUAUGAAAUUUUGCCCUCAAAAUUAGGGUACGUACCUGGUAUGUCGAAGAGGUAAGGAUACCUUGAUUUCAUCUCAGAUUCUAACUCCCAGGUCAUUUCCUCAACAUCGUGGUUCCUCCACAAAACUUUGACUUGAGGUAUAACCUUGGAGCGUAGAACAUGUUCCUUCUUAUCCAAGAUUUUAACA